rnacentral:rRNA from 1 species
GAUGAACGCUGGCGGCGUGCUUAACACAUGCAAGUCGAACGGAAAGGCUCCUGCUUGCAGGGGUACUCGAGUGGCGAACGGGUGAGUAACACGUGGGUGAUCUGCCCUGCACUUCGGGAUAAGCCUGGGAAACUGGGUCUAAUACCGGAUAGGACGAUGGUCUGGAUGCCAUUGUGGAAAGUUUUUCGGUGUGGGAUGAGCUCGCGGCCUAUCAGCUUGUUGGUGGGGUAAUGGCCUACCAAGGCGUCGACGGGUAGCCGGCCUGAGAGGGUGUACGGCCACAUUGGGACUGGGAUACGGCCCAGACUCCUACGGGAGGCAGCAGUGGGGAAUAUUGCACAAUGGGCGCAAGCCUGAUGCAGCGACGCCGCGUGGGGGAUGACGGCCUUCGGGUUGUAACCUCCUUUCGCUAGGGACGAAGCGCAAGUGACGGUACCUGGAGAAGAAGCACCGGCUAACUACGUG